AUUGAACGCUGGCGGCAGGCUUAACACAUGCAAGUCGAGCGAGUGGCGGACGGGAGAGUUAUGUGUGGGGAUCGGGCUUAUGGAGGGGGAUAACUACGGGAAACUGUAGCUAAUACCGUCUUCCAUAGGAUGAGCCCAAGUGGGAUUAGGUUGUUGGUGAGGUAAAGGCUCACCAAGCCGACGAUCUCUAGCUGGUCUGAGAGGAUGACCAGCAACACUGGGACUGAGACACGGCCCAGACUCCUACGGGAGGUAGCAGUGGGGAAUAUUGCACAAUGGGGGCAAGCUGAUGCAGCCAUGCCGCGCGCAUGAAGAAGGCCUUCGGGUUGUAAGGUACUUUCUGUCGGGAGGCGUUAACGACAGAAUAAGAACCGGCUAACUCAGUGCAAGCAGCCGCGGUAAUAC
rnacentral:rRNA from 1 species